UACGUAGGGGCUAGCGUUAUCCGGAAUUACUGGGCGUUAAAGGGUGCGUAGGCGGUCUUUCAAGCCAGAAGUGAAAGGCUACGGCUCAACCGUAGUAAGCUCUUGAAACUGUAAGACUUGAGUGCAGGAGAGGAGAGUGGAAUUCCUAGUGUAGCGGUGAAAUGCGUAGAGAUUAGGAAGAACACCAGUGGCGAAGGCGAUUCUCUGGACUGUAACUGACGCUGAGGCUCGAAAGCGUGGGGAGCAAACAGGAUUAGAUACCCUGGUAGU
rnacentral:rRNA from 1 species